GAAUUCGUUAAAUAAAGUAUCAUUAAAAAAAAAUUAAAAAUGAAUUGUAUUUUAAUAAAACUUUUAUUUUUUUGUAUUAUUUUAAGUUUAGUUCAAGGAAUUUUAUUUGAGAAAAGGUCAGCUGAAGAAACUAAAAACAUUUUCCAACAAGAACUUUUCAACCAAAAUUUUGAUGAUUCUAACAUUGAAGUCACUGAAGGUUACCAUCAUGUAAAAAGAUCUACGGAGCCAAUUCCAUGGUUGCGUAAAGACUGAAAUAUUAAUCAAACGUGAUUUAAAAAAAAAAUUAGUUUUUGAUCAUUUGAGGUCAUUUGCCGAACUAAGCAGACGAUUUUUAUUAUUUAACCUAAGAGUUAAAAGAUUUGAUUGAUAAAAUCAUGUUCUAAUCUGUAUGCAAAUAAAACCUGUAUUUUUAUAUAAUUU